GACGAACGCUGGCGGCGUGCUUAACACAUGCAAGUCGAACGGAAAGGCCCUGCUUUUGUGGGGUGCUCGAGUGGCGAACGGGUGAGUAACACGUGAGUAACCUGCCCUUGACUUUGGGAUAACUUCAGGAAACUGGGGCUAAUACCGGAUAGGAGCUCCUGCUGCAUGGUGGGGGUUGGAAAGUUUCGGCGGUUGGGGAUGGACUCGCGGCUUAUCAGCUUGUUGGUGGGGUAGUGGCUUACCAAGGCUUUGACGGGUAGCCGGCCUGAGAGGGUGACCGGCCACAUUGGGACUGAGAUACGGCCCAGACUCCUACGGGAGGCAGCAGUGGGGAAUAUUGCACAAUGGGCGGAAGCCUGAUGCAGCAACGCCUCGUGCGGGAUGACGGCCUUCGGGUUGUAAACCGCUUUCGCCUGUGACGAAGCGUGAGUGACGGUAAUGGGUAAAGAGGCACCGGCUAACUACGUG
rnacentral:rRNA from 1 species